UAAAUAAAGAAAGAAAGAAGAAAAGAAGCAAAAAUACAUGUAAGGAAAUCAUAUAAAAAGAGGCAAAAAAUGUUUUUACAAAGUCACCUAUCUUCAAUGGGUUAAUCAAUACAAAGACUAAAUAAAAACGUUCAAUUUCUUUUUUUUUUGGGAUAGAUAAAUAAAAACAUUCAACAUUAAUUUAUGCUAUCGUACAUCCGUACAAAUUAACAACAAUAGAUUGCACGGAAGUGUAAUAACUCAAAUUAAGAAAGAGACAGUAAAUACCUGAACAACAUCACUCAACAAGUCACAAACAGACAUAUAUGUAACAGGAGUCAGGGACCAAUCUACACAUGCUCAUAACAAUCCAUACACGGUCCAAAAUACAAAGCAUUGCUCAAAAUAUUCUUGACUGAAAAUCUACAACAUAUGGCAACAAGUUUGAAAGCAUACUCUAAAUAUAGAAACAUGAUCAGAAUAAGCCUCUUGUACGGAAACUAAUCCUCCCAACAGAAAUGCUGAAACAUAAGACAUAGUCCAAAAAACACGACCAAUAAGAAUGUAAAUUUAGGACACAGUCUAAUGUUGUUGAAUAGAUGUUCACAUCUUCUGCUAUUGGCUCGUAUCCUCAUGAAGAUGUGACACAUAAAGCACUCACUCACUACUUUUGUGAUGAGGAUAAUGAGCUUUUUGUCAUCAACAAAUGUCUACAUGGAAACACACAUCACCACUCACCUCAACAGAUGUCUACAUGGAAGCACUUAAUCACUUGAGCACGUAUGCUUGUAAACAUAGUUACCAAAAACUUAUGGCAUAUGAUAUGAUGAGUUGGACAUGACAUGCAUUCUCAAGUGAAUGCCAUGUUGGCAUGUAUACGCAACUUAAGUAUAUCUCACACUACGCAUAAGAUAUACAAGAAGUCUGAAGAGCGUGCACAUAUUUUUUACUAUUUUUAGAAACGAUAGUAUUUAGGAAAGAUUAUUGGCAUGUCUCAAGUGAACGCCAUGUCUCAUUGGCAUGAACUAUUUAGGAAAUAUUAUUAUGCUAUUUUUCAGAAGAUAAACUCAAAACUCCGAAAGUCAACAUAAAAAUUUAGAAACUCGAUUAUGUUAUUGUUUGCCUUCACUUAUAUAUAUAUAUAUUUGGCCACUUAGAAUCUAAUACCGUUCUUUUUUCUAAUUAAAGCAGGUCAUGGUUUGGGGAUUUUUUUCCUUUUGAAUGGGGAAAUAGUGAAGUGGGGAGGUCAGAAUUUCGAAUACACCUCAUAACCGAAUCUGAUUAUACGUCCAUACAAAUAUAUGGUUAUUAGUAUAUCAGUGGAGACUUGUAGUGACCCUGAAACAACUAAGGGAAUACAAAUAUUCUAGCUCAAACCCAUUGAACCUAGGAACAAUACUACACUAUUCCCAUUGUUGAAAUAAUGAAUUAUUUGAGGCAAUGUUAAGAGACCAAAUAUGCUUGUAAACAACAACAAGAACCCAAAAAUAAAAUAAACAAUAAAAAGAAAAAGAAAAAAAAAAAAAAAAAAGGAAAAGGAGAGAGACCAAAAAUCCCCAUUUCCCCAGCUUUCAUGAUACUUCAACCCAAUGCAUCCAAAAAAAUGAAAACAAUGCUAUUAUUUGGAAAUAGAUUUCUCGAAUACGGCCAUGAAUAUCUGCAAAAUCAAGGGCCUUUAUUCCAUGUGUUACAGAAGCAUUUCGCAAAGUCGAUUAUUCUCCACCAAAACAUUUCUCAAAUGUUAGUAACUUCAACAGUAUCAUCUCAAGUUUUAUCAACCCAAAUCAGAAACCAAUUCUCUUGGAAAAAGAAGGGCCAGAACAUCACGCACNNNNNNNNNNNNNNNNNNNNNNNNNNNNNNNNNNNNNNNNNNNNNNNNNNNNNNNNNNNNNNNNNNNNNNNNNNNNNNCAAUAAAUUUGCAGAAAUAAAAAUGGCAGAUGAAGAAACAGAUGAAGGAAUCAAAUGGGUCACCUGCGUUGGUCUCCCGGAAAAGGUCGACUUUGUCGUCCGGCGGCUGCAAUGGCGUUGUUGCUCACCGUACACUCC
rnacentral:lncRNA from 1 species